GGAGACGUGCCCGAGCGGACGAAGGGAACGGUCUUGAAAACCGUCGAGUCAGCAAUGGCUCCGUGGGUUCGAAUCCCACCGUCUCCGCCA
rnacentral:tRNA from 1 species